UAUCAGUUCUCUAUAAGUCAUAAAAAUAUCACAUUCAAAAGCCUCCAAAAAGUCCUCCAAAUCUUUCUCUCUUUGCAGCCUUGCUGACUGCAGCCUAAAAAUUUUAGCAACCCUCUUCCACCUUCCAACCUCUUCCAAACCUACUUCCCUCAGCCUAUUGUCCACCAAAUCUCUUUCUCAUACUACAGAAGGUCUUUUUCAAGUCCCA
rnacentral:lncRNA from 1 species